rnacentral:rRNA from 1 species
UGGUGGAGUGAUUUGUCUGGUUAAUUCCGAUAACGAACGAGACCGCAACCUGCUUAAUAGAUGGACAAAUUAUCUACUUGAGUAAAGUUAGUCGGAAUUCAAUAUUUGGCGAAAGUUAAGUGUUGGAGCUUUCUAGUGGAUCUUUGAUACAUUUGGCUAAGCUUCUUAGAGGGACUACCAGCUUAAGCUGGGGGAAGUGCGGCAAUAACA